rnacentral:misc_RNA from 1 species
CUUUUACUAUCACCAUAAAUAGACGCAGUUUCUUCAUUUUACAUCACUGAGAAACAUUAGCUUCCGAUAACCUCCCACAGAAAUAUUUAUAUAUUUAGUACUGUGCAAAAUAUUGAGUGCUUGCUGUUAAAAUGAUCAUUUCCAACAACAGAUCUAACGAUUUCCUGAUCCUUAAAGUACAUGUCAUGUAUUUGGAAUUGCCAAAUAGCAAAUACACAAGCCUUCAGAGUGUUGCACCGACUCCCGCAUCCAAAAGUCAGCAAAACCUGGAGUUUACAACCUAACUAAAGAGAUUAGUCAUCCAUAAAGAGGUAAAACAAAAUUCUAGCCACCAGUUACUCGUACAACAUCAAAAUCAUUCCUCCCAAAAACAACGAAUUGUUUUAAUCAAGUCCCCUCUUAAAAAGUCAUGUAUUUCUAACACCAGAAAACUUUUCUCCAUAUAAAGCUGCUGUUAGAAGUAUGUCCAUUGGUCCCCUACCUUUAAAUAAUUCAGGUUCACAUUUCCCAUCCAGUAUCUUCUCAAUAUUCUCAAAAGCUCUUUCACCUGCUUCAAUUUUCUUUUUCAUUCUAUAUCCUUGUUUCUCAUAUGCCCUCCUUGCCCUGCGAAUUUCCUUGAUUUUCAAAUCACAUUGUCUGCAGAACCAUUUCCCUCUAGGCACAGAAGUGCGUGGUGGAGUCAUGCAAUACAUGUGAUAUGCAUUAUCACAACCAUCGCAUAAAAGGAUCUCAUUAUCAUCUUUAUCAGUUAGGCAAACUCUACACAAACAAGAAGGGCAAUACCAACGCAGACCAUAUGAUUUUAACAGGUUAGUUGUCAAGCACCUCACAUGGUAAUACUUGUAAGGGCAUAAACCAUGGUCACAUAUCUUCAGCUUUUCACCAUUUUCCACCUCACUUCCACAAAUUUUACAAACACAAAUAUUUUUACUCCCUGCUGGCGGUUGACAAAAAUCAUCCCUCGUACAAUUUGAAGUCUCUUCAAAAUCGCAGACUAUUUUUUCAAUUGUUGAUGUUCCCUUUCCAUCAGUCCUGGGAGCAUUCAGCCUCUCACAUAUUACACAAUUCUCAUGGGGAGAUACCACUCCUACUGCUCUGCAGCUCACACAGUACCAACUUUUUGGGGGAAUCUCUUUGACAGCAGGUUCAAUACAGGAUACAUGGUACAUUUCCUCGCAUGAAUCACAUACUAGACAAUCCCUCCCAUUUGCUUUGCCCCCACAAUGCCGACAAGUACAGACUCUGUAUACACCAGAAGUGUCUAUUUUCUCUGAUUUAUGAUGAAAAUUAAAUUCCUGAGUACUGAACUGUUUUGAAGCCAAAAAAUGUAAAUUAUUUCUCAGAACCAACUAAAUCAGUUUCUAAAACAAAAUCUAAAAAAUCCAUGAACAUGGUAGUUCUAAAAUGAUUCAUUAUUUUGUACAUGGCAUGAGUCCGUCAAAAUUUAGUUUCAUAGAAGAAUAUCUGCAUGUUGAGUAUCUUACCUGUUCAUUAAAGCAAGUUAAAGAUACAUCUGAGAGGCUCUUUGCAAGAGAAAUCAAAUCAUUACCAAUUCCUUGAAGCUUUUUCCACACCAGUUGAAUAUCCGUAAAAAAAAGUGAAGGUGAAUGUUCAUAAACUCCAUCUUUCAUCCUCAUGUUUAUGAGACUUGAGCCUAAAAGGUUGUCAGCCUUCAUUUCUUUGAAAUUUUCAACCAGUAGCUUACACAAUAAGGUGAACUUUUCAGAAAGCAUAAUAUUAAGGAAAGCACGCUGGCACAUCUCAGUGACAGGAUGAUGAGAUUUGUCCAAAGAUUCAUUAGAUCUGAAAUCUACAUGCUCUUUAGCUGCAUGAAUUCCAUUAGGCAUCCACCUUGCUUGUGAGGAGCACUUGUGCUCAUCUUUGUCACAAGUAUCAAAUUCCUCAACAGUCAUCAUAAGUGCAUCUCGGAUGCAACCCUGAAUACCACCUUCUUUAUCAUUUAAUGACUGAUAUAUGCGCUCAAGGACUACAUUUCUACACUGCUUGCGUAAAACAUCAUUUGAACCAUACAGAGAAGAAUGUUUUUCAGGAAGACAGUCUGAUGGCUCUUUUGUGGUCUCUUCUGCCAAUUUACUAGCUUCCAUAGAACCUCUCCCUUCCUCUUGAACUUUAUUCUCUGAACUCCACCUAGUGAGUUUUCGCCUCUUGUAAGUUCGCAAACCCUCACUGGGCCCUGAGCCCCCAUCACCACCAUCAUUCCCAAUCCUAAUCCAAAAACCAUUAUUCACUGCUUCACUUUUCAAGCACUGAACUGCCACUCCUGUGCUGUCACCGUUACUUGUUCCCUCCUCACCACCCAUCUCUUAGUAGCACAAAGAAAAGCCCAGAUAACAAAAAAACCCUAAUUUCCAGGCUUUCAGCACCAAAUUAGGGUUUCACCGGAACACCACAUUCAAAGAGUUCAAGUUCAAUUGAAUUGUCAGAUAAACAGAUACUAAGAACAGAAAAUCAAUAAUAUAAAAAAAGGAUAAUUAGCAAUAUUUUCUCCAAUAAAGUUCACAUAAAUCCAAGUUCUCAGUUUGGUAGCCAAGAAAACACAUCAAAGAAAGAUAAUGGAUGACAAGAGAAGUGAACGUUGCAUCUAACCACUGCUGUUGCUUUCAGUUUUUCAAGUAAAAUUAAGCCAAAUUCUUGCAUGAGAGUUCAGUAAGUGUACAUUUAUCUUUUAUAGCCCAAAAAUUGGCAGGUUAAAGAUAAAAAAAAGAUUAUAUCUUUUUUUAUUUCUCUCUUUGUUUGACAUUUUCUCAGUAACCAAACAGAGCAUUAAACAAACAAAUAAUUACUAGAAAAUCAACGAAGAUAGAAAAAGAAACGAGGAAACAUACCCGAAUAUAGUUUUCUUAGGUAAGGAAAACCGAAACCUAAAAUCUUAGAGGAAGGAGUUGGUUGGUUUGAAGGAGAGAAGUUGCAGGUCUUAUCCGUCUAAUUUUAAAAAAUUUUUAGAACAGAGUCUCUUUGUUCUCUGCUAUUUUAUUUCCCCAUUUUUUUGUUAUAAUUUAUUUUUUUUCUAUUAAUUGAGCAAGAGGUAGUACGGAUCCGGUAGUGGGUACCGCGGAUGUGACAAGAACAGCCUGUGGUGUCACUGACACGUGCCGUCCACGAUAUGAGUUCGGCGUUGUAAACUUCAAACCGUCAGGCGUCAGCCUUGUAUCCCACCACACGCCGCCUGCUUCAUCCUACGGGGGGC